AUUGAACGCUGGCGGCAGGCCUAACACAUGCAAGUCGAGCGGAUGAAGGGAGCUUGCUCCUGGAUUCAGCGGCGGACGGGUGGGUAAUGCCUAGGAAUCUGCCUGGUAGUGGGGGAUAACGUCCGGAAACGGGCGCUAAUACCGCAUACGUCCUGAGGGAGAAAGUGGGGGAUCUUCGGACCUCACGCUAUCAGAUGAGCCUAGGUCGGAUUAGCUAGUUGGUGGGGUAAAGGCCUACCAAGGCGACGAUCCGUAACUGGUCUGAGAGGAUGAUCAGUCACACUGGACUGAGACACGGUCCAGACUCCUACGGGAGGCAGCAGUGGGGAAUAUUGGACAAUGGGCGAAAGCCUGAUCCAGCCAUGCCGCGUGUGUGAAGAAGGUCUUCGGAUUGUAAAGCACUUUAAGUUGGGAGGAAGGGCAGUAAGUUAAUACCUUGCUGUUUUGACGUUACCAACAGAAUAAGCACCGGCUAACUUCGUG
rnacentral:rRNA from 1 species